UCAAGGUCGGUGAUAGGGUAUGGG
rnacentral:misc_RNA from 1 species